rnacentral:rRNA from 1 species
UACGUAGGUGACAAGCGUUGUCCGGAUUUACUGGGCGUAAAGAGCGCGCAGGCGGUCGUUCAAGUCGAGUGUGAAAGCCCCCGGCUCAACUGGGGAGGGUCACUCGAUACUGAUCGACUCGAAGGCAGGAGAGGGUAGUGGAAUUCCCGGUGUAGUGGUGAAAUGCGUAGAGAUCGGGCGGAACACCAGCGGCGAAGGCGGCAUCCUGGUCCUGUUCUGACGCUGAGGCGCGAGAGCGUGGGGAGCGAACUGG